rnacentral:lncRNA from 1 species
CGGGUAGACAGUUUAAGAGAAACUAAGUUACUCUGGGAGUUUCGAGAGGAGAAGAUCACAGGAGAGGGUUAUUGGAGGUGAUAUUCCAGAUGAACCUUGAACAAGAGUUGAAAUUUCAAUUGACAGAAAAACGGGAGGGCAUUUCAGGUGUCUGUGAUAGCUGGAGAAAAGACCAGAGAGUCAGAAAAGAUAGAGCAUAUUUAGGGAACAUGAAGUAGCUGAUUUUGCAGAACUGUAGGAAAAAUGUAGGAUAGUGGUGGGAGACAAGACGAAGCAGGUAGCAAUGUGAACUAAAUUUGGAAGGUGGAGGUGUACCAUUCAAGUUUAGUGAACAAUGGAAUAUAAUUAGAUCAUAAUUAGAUCUAUGCUUGAUCUACCCUCAAUUCAGGUGGAGAAGGAGGAGAGAGGAAGUAGGGAGACCAUGGAGUCAGUCAUCACUCGGCAAAGGUAUGGGGAAUGCAAACACACUUGUGGCAAUAAAAGGAAGAGUGAGAAGCAAGAUCAAUUUCCAUAACAAAAUUCGCACAUGAAUUACAGAAAAAGGGACUGAAGACAACUAAAAAGGCUGGAUAUAACAUUUUAAAACAUUUCUUGAAAUAUUGAAGAGAUGACAAGACAGUAAGACAGUUUUAGGCCAAACAUGGAAGGAAAAUGAGAACCCACAGAGAAAAGCAAGAUCCUACCCAGGAUACCACAUUACAUUUAGUCAUCAUAUCUUCAUAAUCUCCUCUCAGCUAGCAGUUUCUCAGAUAACCUUGACAGUUUUGAGGAGUACUGAUCAGGUUAUUUUGGGAACGUCCCACUGUUGGAAUUUGUUUGAUGCUUUUCUCCUGAUUAGACUGGAGUUAUGGGUUUUGGGGAAAAGACCACAUAGUCAACGUGACAGUCUCAUCACAUCACGUCAAGAGCACAUACCAUCAACAUGACUUAUCACUGUUGAUGCUGAGUUUGAACACCCAGAUGAGGUAGUGUUUGCAGGUUUCUCUACUGAAAAGUUACUUUUUCUCCUCCCUUCUGUAGUAUGGUGUUGAAAGAACUCCCUCUGCACAGCUCACAGUUAGUGAGUGAGAAGUUAUGCUCUACCCCACAGUGGACCGUGAUGCGGAGCUAAGACUAGCAGAACAACCGAGAAGGAGCCUGGGCCCUUAGCACUAUGGAUGGAGGGCCACAUCAGCCCUUGAACUGAUGACGUCUGGGUUUCUUUUUUCUGACAAUAGGAGACACGGAAGGUUUCCUGGACAGCAGGAAGAGGAAGAAGGAAUCUGGAUGCUGUUUCCUGUUUGCCUUGCAGACCAGCCCCAGCUCAUCACAUUCCUUCAGAAACACCAGCAUCAGCUACAUUGCCCACAGGAAGAGUCUUUCCAUUUGCCACACUGGAUGCCACACUGGAUGGGAUAAUCUAGGAGGGAGGAACUGUGGAGAUGGUGCGCCUUGGGAUGUCCAGAAGACAGUGACCAGAAUUUCAAGAGAUGUUUUCAGAUUUCACAGUAUAAUAAGAGAAAAGGAGCCAAUCCCUUAAAUGAAGAACCUUCAAUCACUUCUCCCCAGGUGCACGUUUCAAUUUCAUUUCUUUUCAUCAACUCCUUCCCUUUGAUGAUGGGUUGCAUUGAAAACUAUUAAGAAAAGUAGGAUAUUUAAAAUGAACUGUGUUAAGAAGACGAUCAUUUCAAAGAAUAGCCGUCUAUUCUGAGGAAGUCCCUUCAGCCAAUCAAAAAGCUAAAAAACUGGAUAUAAUGUGAAUCUAGUGUAAAUUACCAUGAUGUCUCCCUCAACAUUCAUCAAGACUUCUGACUAGUCUACUUGAUCUGUGAAAAUGAGAUUACUUGAAGACCUGUCACAGAUUUUAAAGCAGAACAAGAUAUAUUGAUUAUACAAAUAUUUUUAUGUCACCCUAUAUCUUAAUAAAAUAACAUUUACGUCUGGAGAGUGUGUCAGUCUGAAGAGCCUGCCCAAAGCCAGAUCUAUUUAUUUAAAUCAAGAAAGGCAGAGGCCGUGCUGGCAGUCUUUCAGCUUGUCC